rnacentral:rRNA from 1 species
UACGGGGGGGGCAAGCGUUGUUCGGAAUUACUGGGCGUAAAGGGCUCGUAGGCGGCCAACUAAGUCGGACGUGAAAUCCCUCGGCUUAACCGGGGAACUGCGUCCGAUACUGGAUGGCUUGAGUUCGGGAGAGGGAUGCGGAAUUCCAGGUGUAGCGGUGAAAUGCGUAGAUAUCAAGUGGAACACCAGUGGCGAAGGCGAAUCCCUGGAAAAUACCUGACACUGAGGCACGAAAGCUAGGGGAGCAAACAGG